rnacentral:rRNA from 1 species
AACGAACGCUGGCGGCAGGCUUAACACAUGCAAGUCGAGCGCCCCGCAAGGGGAGCGGCAGACGGGUGAGUAACGCGUGGGAAUCUACCCAUCCCUACGGGAUAACACAGAGAAAUUUGUGCUAAUACCGUAUACGUCCUUCGGGAGAAAGAUUUAUCGGGGAUGGAUGAGCCCGCGUCGGAUUAGCUAGUUGGUGGGGUAAUGGCCUACCAAGGCGACGAUCCGUAGCUGGUCUGAGAGGAUGACCAGCCACAUUGGGACUGAGACACGGCCCAAACUCCUACGGGAGGCAGCAGUGGGGAAUAUUGGACAAUGGGCGCAAGCCUGAUCCAGCCAUGCCGCGUGAGUGAUGAAGGUCUUAGGAUUGUAAAGCUCUUUCACCGAUGAAGAUAAUGACGGUAGUCGGAGAAGAAGCCCCGGCUAACUUCGUGCCAGCAGCCGCGGUAAGAC